UCCACCUCUUCCCAUUCCGAACAGAGAAGUUAAGCUCAUCAGCGCCGAUGGUACUGCGAAAGCGGGAGAGUAGGUCGCCGCCACCC
rnacentral:rRNA from 1 species